CUAAACACACAGUCAGUCGCUGCAACUCUCAAAAGCUAAGUGCUCGUUCCUUUGUAGGGUUUCGUUCUUCGAAAGUGGAAACUCUUUCGUUUCUUCCAUAUAAUUCAUCAAGCCCAUUGAUUAUAAACUCCACAAUUCCCCUCCUGUAAAAUUUUUUCACCAUUUUCGUGUAAUUUUUAGUUUUCCCCCUUUCUGGAAACAACUCGCAGGUCAAGCAAUGUACAUCAAGGAUAUUUACUUGGAAGAUUUCAAAUCCUAUGCUGCCAGAACAGUUUUUCUGGGUUUUGAUCCAAACUUCAAUGUCACCACGGGUUUGAACGGCACCGGCAAGUCAAUUGGAAUUUUGUUUAUUGCCACAUGCCGUGCUGUCACAGUUGUCUGAAUGCUAUUAUAUCCAAUUGAAAUUUUAGGAAGGAAGCUCUAUUUAAUUCUUUUACCUAAAUGCGUUUUACAUUACUCAGAAUUUGGUGUUUUAAAUCAUGACUUUCUGAUUUAUGCUCUUGCUUUUUGCUUGGAAUCUUUUUCUUAUUUCUGCCUUUGAAACGUUGUUUUCUUUCUUAUGUGUGAGUCCUUUUAAUGUCUAUCGGAACAUAAGGCAAGAGUUUGAGACAACGCCAUCCAUUCUUCUAGGUCCUGAUGCUGUCAAGUAUAUAGUUAAUCAUGCUACUGUACAAGUUAUAUUUUGUGUGUCUCAUUAAAUUCAGGUAAUCUUGAUGAAGCUGCGUCAAUAUGCGCGUGUCUUGAAACGGAUAAAUAGUUGUUCUCCAGAUAUGAAAAUGUCAGAUUUUUAUUUAUCUAUAUUGUUCCAUUGAUAUAAGUAUUGCAUUAUUUAUUUCAUUCUAGUAUUUAACUAUUUAUGGAACCUUUAUGUCAUUGCUUGUAAUAAAUUGAGUUAAAUUA